GGUAGUCAUAUGUUUUUAGAGUAAUGGAUGGACAUUGUGACACAAAUAGAGUGACAGUAAAAUAUUUCAAAAUAGCGAUGUAAUUCACGCGUGAUGCUGACGACAUGUACCAGGACUUCAUAUUUAUUACAAAGGGUGACGAGGCGAGAGUCGAGAGCGGAGCCGCGGCGGGAGGACACCGAUUCCAAAAAUUACAAUAAUCAUAACUAAAAUUACAUUAAUUAAUUGUCAAUGACAUACCUAGUAUGCCCAGAUUGUCCAUGAAAAGACCAACUUAGUUUAAUGUAAAGAUUGACGAAGGUGAAGGUAUGAAUAAAGAAUUAAAACGCCGUUUUUUUAUUGUUAAAGGAUGUACAAAUAAAUCUUUGAUUCGCA